GAUGAACGCUGGCGGCGUGCCUAAUACAUGCAAGUCGAGCGAACAGACGAGGAGCUUGCUCCUCUGACGUUAGCGGCGGACGGGUGAGUAACACGUGGAUAACCUACCUAUAAGACUGGGAUAACUUCGGGAAACCGGAGCUAAUACCGGAUAAUAUAUUGAACCGCAUGGUUCAAUAGUGAAAGACGGUUUUGCUGUCACUUAUAGAUGGAUCCGCGCCGCAUUAGCUAGUUGGUAAGGUAACGGCUUACCAAGGCAACGAUGCGUAGCCGACCUGAGAGGGUGAUCGGCCACACUGGAACUGAGACACGGUCCAGACGCCUACGGGAGGCAGCAGUAGGGAAUCUUCCGCAAUGGGCGAAAGCCUGACGGAGCAACGCCGCGUGAGUGAUGAAGGUCUACGGAUCGUAAAACUCUGUUAUUAGGGAAGAACAAAUGUGUAAGUAACUAUGCACGUCUUGACGGUACCUAAUCAGAAAGCCACGGCUAACUACGU
rnacentral:rRNA from 1 species